GCCCCCGGAUAGCUCAAUUGGUAGAGUAUGAGAUUCUUAACCCCCGGGUUGUGGGUUCGAGCCCCAUGUUGGGCA